ensembl:lincRNA Gm28874 predicted gene 28874
UUUUUUNNNNNNNNNNNNNNNNNNNNNNNNNNNNNNNNNGCAAAAGAACCUUUACUGGCUAUGUAUGUGUGGUGGCCAGCUGUAGCCAACUGCCACUCUGUAACUGCCACUCUGUAACUGCCACUCUGUAACUGCCACUCUGCAACGGCUUCCCACACCCCUGGUUGUCCUGGAACUCACUUUGUAGACCAGGCUGGUCCUGAACUCAGAAAUCCGCCUGCCUCUGCCUCCCAAUCCCACUGGGAUUAAAGGUGUGCGCCACCACACCCGGCUUCCACAUCUUUUAAUGUUCUUACCCAUUGUAGUGGCUACUCCUGGUUGUCAACUAUAUCUGGAAUGAACUACCAUCCAGAAUUGGAAGGCUCACCUGUGAUCCAGAUUUUGAGGCUGGGAGAGACAAGUUUCUGACCUGGAUCUUGGCAUGGAGAUCUUGAGGCAGAGUGGCUGUGAAUCCCAGGAGACUAAGGCAAGGAGAUCUCUGAGUUCAAGGUCAUCUGGGACAAAGCAAGUCCUAGAUCCAGGUGUGAUGACACACACCUUUGAUCCGGGCCACACCUUCUGGGAGACCUACAUAAGGACGUUGGCAGGGGGAUUCACUCUUCUACUUGCCUUGUCAACCUUGGACUUCCAUUCACAGCUGACCAUUGUUUGGGAGUUGGACUAGACUGUAAGUCACCAUAACAAAUUCCCUUAGAGCCGACCCAUAAGUUCUGUGACACUAGAGAACUCUGAUUGAUACACCCAUAUCCAACAGGGCUUCCUUCUGCCUGGACUUGCUCUCCCUUGUUCUCCCUCCACAAUACAUACUUUCUCUGUGAGGGCUCGGACAGACAGGUUAUAUUAGUCUCGGAGGACUCCCUGGUACACAGAACUCUCAAAAUAAUCUGUUGCUUAAGAACUACUGCACUCUCUGUCCCUCCCUCCCCACCCCUCACAGCUUGUCCCUCCCUUCUGUAUCAUCCACACUUUGAGAAACCAGAAUCUAGUAGCAGAUGGGAUGUGAAUCAGAAAAGAAGGCAGAAUCAGAAAGAGAGGAAGCUCUGCCAAUUGAUGGGGGGAAAAAAAACCCCAAAGACAAAAAACAACAGCAACAGAAAAAAAAAAAAAAGAACCCUGAGACUAAUGUAGAUGUAGACAGGUUAGUCACUGCCUCAGCCACCUCUGCCCCAUCUGCCAUGUCAACAUCAAAGGAAAAAGCUGACUUCGGGCUUAGGAGGAAGGAUAAGAAUUGAAUCCUGCUGGCACUGUGCUUAUGAGUCUCUGUUUCAGCCUCAGCAUCCCGGUGUAGAGAAAGGAGAUGCAGGUCAGGACCACACUGGGAGGCAGAAGCAGGAGGAUCUCUGUGAGCUCCAGGACAGCCAGGGCUACCCAGAGAAAUCCUGUCUCAAAAGACAAAAAGAAAAGUGGUGGUGGGGAUGCCAGCUGGAGCUGAGUGUGUUGGCAUAAAUCCUUAAUCCUAGCAGAUCUCUAUGUUCUAGUCCAGUCUGAUUUACAGGGCGAGCCUUUGGAGUGUAAGCUCCUUGAGCCUGUGACCUCCCCAACAGAAAACAAAAACAAAAAAACUCCCCAUUUUCUUUUCUUCUGUUUUCCUUUGUUCUUUCACUCAUGCCUUCCCUGAAACAGAGUCUCACUAUACAACACUAGCUGGUACUCACAGAGAUCUACCUCUGCCUCCUGAGUGCUAGGAUAAAGAUAUCUACCAUUACAGUGGUGGCCUUUAAUCCCAGCACUUGGGAGGCAGAUUUCUGAGUCCAAGGCUAGCCUGGUCUACAGAGUGAGUUCCGGGACAGCCAAGACUACACAGGUACUGUAGUGGCUAUUCCUGGUUGUCAACUUGACUAUAUUUGGAAUGAACUACCAGUGACCCUUAUCUGGAGGCUUGGAGAUAGAAGUUUCUGAUCUGGAAUUAAAGGUGUGGUGGAACACACCUUUAAUCUGGGCUACACUUUCUGCUGGAGACAAUAUAAGGACAUUGGAAGAUGGGAGUCUUGCUCUUGCUCCUUCGCCUGCUUGCUGUGUGGGAUUGAGUACCUGCUAGGUCCUUGGACUUCCAUUCACAGCUACUACUGAACCAUUGUUGGGAAUCAGGCUGCAGACUGUAAGUCAUCAAUAAAUUCCUUUAUUAUAUAGAGACUAUCUAUAAGUUCUGUGACUCUAGAGAACCCUGACUAAUACAGGUACACAAAGAAAAACCCUGCCUGAAAAAAACAAAAACAAAGCAAAACAAAAAAAGUGCCACCACACCCAGACAGUAUUAAACAAUGAUUUAUUUAUCUUUAUGUGUGUUUGUCUACACUCAUGUAUACAUACUUCAUUUGUAUUAUGCACCAAGGAAACCAGAGGAGGUGGGAGUGCUGGGUCCUGGGAACUGAAUAAGUGCUCAUAACUGUGGAUCCAUCUCUCCAGCCCCCACAUCCUUUUCUAAAGCUAACAUAAGCUGGGCAAAAUGGCAGUCCAGUACUUCUGAACUGUGUAUCUGUAGAUAUGAGUAGUUAUUUCAAAGACUUUUAAUUAUAUUAAUUUAUUGGAGGGGUACACCAUGGAUGGCAUAUGUAGGUCAGAAGACAAGUGACAGGGUUCACCCUCUCCUUCCACCAUUUGGGUUCUGAGAAUAACUUCACACACACACACACACACACACACACACACACACACACAAGCAAAAAUAAAUCUAAGCACUCAUGAGGCAGAUCUCUGAAUUUAAGGCCAGGCUUGGUCUACAAAGAAAAAAAAGGGCCAGCCACGAUGAAACCCUGUCUC